rnacentral:lncRNA from 1 species
UGAUAUAUAGUUUGGUUGAGGGAAUCAUUCAUGACAAACUUCUGCCUGACGAGCUUCAUCAGUUUGUAUCUCAAAUCACUCUGGGUCUCAUGAUGGAGCCCUGGCAGGCUUGGGAUUCACUUGACCGACAAGAAUAGACUUGGAAUCACAAAGAUUCUCCUGCAUCUACUUCCCACCGGGAAGCAAGUUCCCAAGUGACAAGGAAGACUACCAGUAUUCCCAGUCUCUAAUUCAGAUGAGUAUAUGCUAAGGAACCCAGUGAGGUGUAAGACUUGGUCAUCUCUACUUACAGUAUGGGGAACUGAAGCCCAGAGAGAUUAAGGAACAUGACUAAGGCGGUGGCAGCUAGCAGAGGUCAUGAGCCAAUGAACCACGGCUGCUUUCUCUCCAACAGAAGACCUUUACAUGACCUUUGCAGUAUGGCCAAGAAAGGAGUCCUUGAAUCAUGGGUUAUGGACUGCAGGUCAUCUUCAGUGAAGGUCUCACUGAAACUCAGCCGUCUCUUCUUCAGAAUCUUCCCGUUGCUUGACGUUGCUGAUACUGUCACCCGGCUCUCCUUGAAGGUGAAGUUGGACAUCUUUGACGUUUCAGAGGUUCUCAGAGAUACAAACUGAUCUGUGCAAGUCUCAUGAAGUGAGCCAUAGCUUGCAUCAUAGAAGGAUUUCUGUAAGGAGGAAAAGUGGAACCUGAGAAGUUAUCUAUGCCCUUGAGAUGAGAUUCUUCAGUAGGAUCUGUAUCCUGCAGGCUUAGUGAGAGUGGUCCCCAUUGUGCUUCCUCCCUCCCUCCCUCCCUUCCUCCUAAGCAUCCUCCCAAUGUCCUUCCUUCCUUCCUUCCUUCCUUCCUUCCUUCCUUCCUUCCUUCCUUCCUUCCUUCCUUCCUUCCCCACUGCAUUCCUUCCUUUUCCUUGCUUGGGUUUUCCUGAAACCAUGUGAUUUUUUUUUUUUUUGAGAAGAAGGUAUUUUUACCCAUCUUUAGGCUCAAAAAUAAAGCAUUUUAAUGAAAUAGAUUAAUAAGCAAUCUUGGUAAGUUAGAUCCUUCUAUUAAGAGGACUAACAUCUACUUGAGAGUGCUCAAAAUAUUUUAGAAAAUACAUUUGGCCCUCUGUUUUGCCUGCCUG